ensembl:lncRNA
CCGAUGGCAGGCACAAAACCAACACCUCAGAUGAUGUAAAAUAGGAUCUAAACUACAACAUACAGUACCAGUCAAAGGUGGGAAAAGUGUCAUCCUGACUGCUGUAAUAGUGGGUCUUGGUGGAAAGGCCACCGUCACUAACAGAGGAGUAUCAUUGAAGGGUUUCGUGAAAAAUGGUGAAAGGGGAAGGACGCAGCCAGGAGGGUGAUGCGACAAGGCCGACCCCCCAAGGAACUGUCGCGAGGCCUUCACUGUCGAAGGAGAUCAGGUUUACCGCAACCGAUACUACACCCCAGACUUCGGCAUGGCCAAAUACCUCAGGGGAGAUCUGGAGACAGAAAUUCGCAAAUUGGAGUCAGAGCUGAAGAACUACAAGGCCCAGCUCUCCCGGGUUUCAUCUUCACCUGGGCUCAGUCACUGAGGACAUCCAGCGCAUGGAGGCCAAACUACACAACACCAUCA